rnacentral:rRNA from 1 species
ACACUCCUGCGGGAGGCAGCAGUGGGGAAUUUUGGACAAUGGGCGAAAGCCUGAUCCAGCAAUGCCGCGUGAGUGAAGAAGGCCUUCGGGUUGUAAAGCUCUUUUGUCAGGGAAGAAACGGUGAGAGCUAAUAUCUUUUGCUAAUGACGGUACCUGAAGAAUAAGCACCGGCUAACUACGUGCCAGCAGCCGCGGUAAUACGUAGGGUGCAAGCGUUAAUCGGAAUUACUGGGCGUAAAGCGUGCACAGGCGGUUUUGUAAGUCUGAUGUGAAAUCCCCGGGCUCAACCUGGGAAUUGCAUUGGAGACUGCAAGGCUAGAAUCUGGCAGAGGGGGGUAGAACUCCACGUGUAGCAGUGAAAUGCGUAGAUAUGUGGAGGAACACCGAUGGCGAAGGCAGCCCCCUGGGUCAAGAUUGACGCUCAUGCACGAAAGCGUGGGGAGCAAACAGGAUUAGAUACCCCGGUAGUCCCAUG